rnacentral:rRNA from 1 species
GACGAACGCUGGCGGCGUGGAUAAGACAUGCAAGUCGAACGGGAUUUUUUCCUGUAGCAAUACAGGAAAAAGUCUAGUGGCGAACGGGUGCGUAACACGUGAGCAACCUGCCGUGAAGUGGGGGAUAGCUCGCCGAAAGGCGAAUUAAUACCGCAUGUGGCCAAGGAAGACAUCUUCCUGACGUCAACGCCGGGGCAACCUGGCGCUCCUCGAGGGGCUCGCGGCCUAUCAGCUUGUUGGUGAGGUAACGGCUCACCAAGGCUAUGACGGGUAGCUGGUCUGAGAGGACGACCAGCCACACUGGAACUGAGACACGGUCCAGACACCUACGGGUGGCAGCAGUCGAGAAUUUUUCACAGUGGGGGAAACCCUGAUGGAGCGACGCCGCGUGGAGGAUGAAGGUUUUCGGAUUGUAAACUCCUGUCAUUAGAGAACAAGGCGCACGGUUUAACUGGCCGUGUGUUGAUAGUAUCUGAAGAGGAAGAGACGGCUAACUCUGUGCCAGCAGCCGCAGUAA